UUAGAUAACUAUUGACUGACAGCGUUUGGUUAAAACACACCGAAAUAUAGUUGAUUGAUAUUAGCUUUUUAUUACUACAUGAUACGACAGGAGUUCAUCAAGGUGAAGCUGUGGUUAGAGCUAGCUGAUCGCUGUACAGGGCUUGUGCCAGCCACAGUACCAUUGUGUGGCGCAAUACACUGGCUACCUGGAAUCCUUGAUUCAGACACGGACGUAAUCAUGGAUAAGUUAAAACGGAUUGGGUAAACUUGACAACCCAGGAGACAUGUCUGGUGCUGAGGACUACCGAAACCGGAAGGUGGCCAUGGCAGCCAUGUUGUUCGAGGACAAAUGUGUAGAAAUAAAAAAAGGAUAUUCUAAGGAGUCAGAAUCACAGAUAAACGUUCAAACAGAAUCCAUAUCAAGAUGUGAUACACCUGGACCCUCUACGUCUUCUGCUGUGCCGUCAUAUUCACAGAAAACUGACCGGAAAUCAGACAAGGGAAAUAACUCUAAAAAUUUAAAACGAUGGGUUUCUGACAUGGAAUUAAUCUAAUAUUCAGAACUACAAAUUGUUGAUGGAACAAAGUUCAUUCAGAGGCAUGAAGAUAAUGUAAUUACUUCAAAUCAUUUAAUAGACUUUGUUUAACAAAGUCAGUUUUAGUUUCUUAAGAUUUAAGUUGAAGUGUUCAGUUCAAGUGAUUGAAUAAAGCACUUAGAACCAUAAUAUUCUUUAACGCAUGCUAUUUAAACACACCAAAAAUGUGAACUACUUGUUACAAUAGAACAUACGACACUGGUACAUUGUGAUAACAAUAUAGCCGACAGUAUUACAUUAUCUUAAUAAGACAAAAGAUACACAAACCCAAAAUACAAUAAAAUCUAUUACAAUUUGAAUCUUAUUAAAUUACAUAAUGUUUUAACACUGAUACAUGCUUACAAUAAAUGUAACAUAAUCAACACUAUAAUGAUAUGAUGGUUAUACAAAAUCCAGUGCCGCCAUUU